rnacentral:misc_RNA from 1 species
UUGCAAUAUAAAUAUAAUUUUAAUUGCUCUAAAUGUAUAAAUUUUUAGAUAAUAUAAUAUUAUUAAAUAAUAAAUUAUACGAAUAAUUAUUACCUGAUAAUAAUUUCAAGUGUAUCAUAUAAUCAAAUCAAUCAAGAAUUAGAUCAACGCAUAUUGACUCUCAAGCUCGGAAGCAGGAGUUGUAGAUAUCUCGAAAUUCAUUUAAGUUUUAUUUCAAAUGCAUAGUAAUUAUCUCAUAUUUUUAUGGUAUUCUGAUAUAAUAAUUUCUUUCUCUCUCUCUCUCUCUCCCUCUCCUUCUGACAUCACAAAUAUUCGUAUCAUUGUUUCACUAAAGUGAAGCAAAUAAGAAUUACAAUAGGCUUCAUAGUUUAGAAUUUGCAGCUCGAAAACUGGAAAUGGCAGAUUGCACGAAAAAGAAAAUAACAUGACGAGGGACGUUCUGAAAACAGGAAAACUUAUCGUGAUACGACUCGGUAAUACGCCCGGAACACGCGUCCGAGUCACGUGCGCGGCGCGAAAAACGCGAAUGGCGCGCGGGCAGCUUAGGGGCGCGUCGCUUGCGUGAACGUACGGUGGCAGCGAAAGGCGUCGUAGAAAGACUGGCGUCGGUACAGCUGAACUAGGCAGGGGGCAAUGCACCUGCGACAAUAACAACAACAACAACGCGACGGGGAGCCGCGCGACGAUCAUGCCAUUCAGACCGCGAUCGUCGAUGUACUUGCGCGCUCUCCUCCCUGUCUCUUUUCCCCCCAUAUAAAGCCACCAGAGUUUCCCGCGAUGGAUCGUUUGCAUCACGCCGGAUUCCUAACGAAUCUGGGACGCGCAUUUAUGUCGCGCGAAUAAUGACACGAGAUUGCGAGGGAAACCAGGGGUACAUCGAACUGGUAAUGAUCACACGGACGAGCCGCCUUGCGAAGCGCCCGUCUUGUCACCCAUUGUGCUGCGAUCGUAUUUUGAAUAUUACGUAAUACGACGUUGUUUUAGAGAAAGUUCUCUCGUGGAAUGUUAUUAAUCAGUGAACAAUUGAGAUACUCAUAUUGUAGAGUUAUGUCGGGUCGUAAGGAACCGCGAAGUCUUGUUUUCUCUUCGGUAUUCUUACAAUUAGUUACCCAGCAAUCUCUCGUUGUUAACAAACUGGUUAAUCACUUAAUCGUAAUCUAGUCUUUUCGCGUCUUGAUAAUAUGGAGUAGGUUAACGGGUGUAAAUGACUGGUACACGUAUCGAUUUAUACUUUAUUAGCGAAUGUUAAAGUUAGCGCGCUCGUAUUAUUUCUUUCUAUAGACCGCGCGUACUCGUUACCACGUGUAAUGAUCAAGAGUACCGUAAUAUCCGUUAUACACGGCAAUGCACCGACUCUUGACUUCCCCGACCACAAUUUGGAACCAAUCAUAAACGAAGAGCAUUUGGAAAUACGUGCUGCAGUUUGAAGUGUGCCAUUCGUAUACAAAUUGAUAAACAAAGUCAAAAUAAAGAUCGAAGAAAGAUUUACACAAUAUUUUAUUAAUAAAAACAUAUCGUAAAAUACGCGCGAUUUAUAUCUACCUGCAACUAUUUUUUAACAUACUUGAGAUAUUUAAUGAAACAUUAAUUAAUGCUAAUACAUUUUUUAUUAUCUAUCACGAUUUAAUUUCCACCAGAUUUCACUUAUGGAGAAACCCUAUGUUUAUCCCAUUCCCACGUAUUUUUGGUCAAUAUCCUUUGCGUCAUAAAUUAAAACAUUACAACGAAAAUAAUUAAUGAUAGAAAAUAUCAAAUAGGAUAUUUGGAUUGAAUAAGACACAGUAAUUUUUAUUUCUCAAAAACUACAUUUCUGAAAGUUUAAAAAAAUAAAAUAAAUUACGUAGGCCUUAUUCAAUCCGGACAUCUGGUUAAAACUCUGAUUUAUUACUAAAAGAAUUUCAAUGCGCUCUUAAACUUCCUCUUUAUAUAUGCGCGCGUAACGAAUGAAAGAAAAAGAAGGAUCUCUUAUACGCGUUUCGCUGUAAUAAGGCAAGUUGAAUCGGCAAGCGGUCAAUGCUCGACUGACCUCAACAACAGUAAAAGUGACAAACGCUUGGCUCCAUUCGUCGAAGCCAGCCGACAACUCGAUUCCUCGAUUCUUCGAUCCCCUCCGUUUAUUCUCAGCUAUCUUGCGUGCCAAACGGCACUCGAUGCACCAUGCACCGCCCUCCUUACUGGAUUUCAUUCAUUUUAUUUCUCAUCUUGAACCCAUCAAGUCUCAAUUUACUCUAAUGAUUAAUAAUUAGUAAUUGUACAAUUAAUUUCGAACAUUUGGCAACAGAAGGGCGAAUGAAUCAAAAGAUUGUGUACAUUUCUAUAAUUGAGAUCAUAAGUACCAGGCGUUUCCAAUUAAGGGUAUAUUCUCGCUUUUGAGUUUCAAAAAAUCUAUUAUUAAUUUUGAUAUUUUAAAAUAAUUUAAAACUUGAAAAAGGAACAAGUUAAAAAGACAAGUUAAAAAACUUACAAAAGUUUCUAUUAAUAUAUAAACUAUAUGCAAAACUUUAAAGUAUUUUUCUCGAAGUAACUAAUUAGUUAAUUAAUUAAUUAAUAAAGGAUUUUAUGUAUCGCGCAAAGUAUGUAAAUAAAAAUAAACACGAUGAAACACUUCACUAUAUACAAAACCAUAUUCCCAGAAUACAGCUUUGGGAUAUCAAAAUAGGGCCCGUUUUUUAUCAACGUAGAUUAACUUUAAUUUCGGUUUAACUUACUCUUUAUCUUUUUCUAAUUUUUCAAACUAGAUAACAAGUAAGUUAAAAUCGAGAUUAAAAUUAAUCUACAUUGGUAGAAACGGGCCAGAUUUAUUAAUCAAGCCCUGACUUGCACGUACGUUAUUUCUUCGUGCAGGACCUAAUGGGAUUUUGCCUCGAAAGGGACAGAAAUAGAGAACAACUAUCUAAGACCUUUACAGGACCUCUUAAAGUUUCACCGGGAUGCCGUCUGCAUUCUGUCGUUCAGCAAAUGAACUUACUGCCGCGUUAUGUCGCAUUAUUGUUGCGCGAGAACUGGGAACUUAAAAAUAACUGCAUUUGUAUCCAAUAAUGAACGGUCUCCGAGAAGAUAAAUAUUCAGCCAUAUUACGACUGGUAGAAGAACGCGCGCCAUGACGACGAGGCCGCGUUGCAAAACUGGAACAGGAAAACCCGACGUGGAAAAUUGUCGUAAGAGCGACGGGACGAGCGCGGUGCAGUACUAUAAAGAGACAACGGGCUUGAGAGUUGCAAGCACGCGCGGGCGCGGGGUGAUUGGCAGAGAUUGGCGUCGCAACGAGAUCGAAAUGUCAACGAGAGUCUUGCGAACAGGAAACCUCGUACGUAUCUCUCGAGGAAACGCUCUUGUGUCUCUUUUGUCAGGGGCGCAUCCACCCUCUCGCCAGCUAAGUCUUCAUAACACUCGGUCCGCCCUUUACUUCGUUAAAAUUACAAGAGAGAGAACGUGGACAAGAGCAAUUCUCUACAAGCUACAAAACAGUAGACGGUCUGACCUCAAAUGCUUUUAGAGAGGAAACACUCUUUCUACGUAUCUUGCACCCUACAUGUCCAAUUCUAAGAUUUCAUACUAAUUUAAAAAUAUACUAAAAUAAAAACAUACUAAAAAAAAAUACAAUAUUUCAUACUAAGAUAUGUUUAAUUAUUUAUUAAUUAAAAGUUCUUGUUAAUAUAUUUAUUGAUAACAGAUAAACAGUUCUAACGAUCAUAGUUCUGAUGAUCAAAUGAUAAAAGAGAAACGCGAUAAUACGAGCGCCAUUUAUUUUUACGUCGAAUAAAAUCAAAGUUUCUCGUAAGUAAACAGUAAGUGACAGUAGAAAAGCGGAAUUUUUCUGGCCAAAUCAGAGAUCGAUCGGCGAUCUUAGAAGAUCGAUCCGCUCCUGUGUUGACCAGUUGUUACACACCGAUUGAUCGGUAUGCGACGUACUGCGCACUGGCUCUUACGAUCGCACGAUCCGAACCUUCGAAAGGACAUUGACCCGCAGAUUACCAGCGUAUUCGGCAAUUUGACGACUUGCGGAGAAUCUUCUUCACUCCUUCACCGACACUUUCAACUACAAUCCAUACAACAGAACCCUUGGCUUGUACGGUGGGAGGAAGGGUCUUAGCAGGGCCGCUUUUUGAGACCGCGUGUUCAAAGUGUGCGCCGCACACGGGCGGCACAUACAAAGGGUGAUGAAUUCAACUUAAAGGAGGCGGUAAUUGUUCGCUGGCACACGAGCAAUACCGAUACUUAAGAUGAGCUAACAAACCUCGAAGGCAACAACCCCGAAGGCAACAACCCCGAGAACGUUGAACUAUCUUUCACAUCUGCUAUGUGGAUCUGAUGAAAAUAUUUCGAGUACUAGUGGGACAACAAGAAGGGUCUAACAUUUUAACACUAAAUGACCUGCUCUAAAAGUCGAAAUUUCUGUGUGGAGUAUAAUGAACCGUACCCCCCGUAGAGUACAAUAACAAAAAACAUUCACUGCCACAUUCUAUAUUGGACGGUGCAAUGAUGGUGAAACGUUAUUUAUAGUGUAAGUUUAAAUAAUAAACUCUUAUCUUUACAAUAUAUAUUUUAAGUAAUUUUUAUUCUUAAUAUAUAUUUAUAAUUUAUAUCAUUCUUUUUGCAUUUUUGAAAUUCGAGUUUUAGUUCAAUUCACGAAAUCCUUGGCCACUAAAUCACGCGGAAAAUCUAUUAACAUUUGUUAAAUCGAUACAGCUGUAGCCUUGAGCAGUUGUAAAAACAUUCAGUAUGUACGCCAAUCAGAUUUCUUUCGUCGUAUAUAUUAUUCGUCCGUCAUAUAUCGACAGCUAUCGAUGGAUAUUGACAUACCGGAUAUAAGCUCGAGCAACCGCUCAUUCCUGACAUUUCGUGAGAGUUUAACAUCAGCAAAUAAAAAAGAAAAAAAGAAACAAGUGUAAAAUUAUAUCAUUUACUCGAGUUCUUAGAUUACAAAUAUUCUUUACCUUAUUAUAUUUUCGAAAUGCAUGUGUGUGUGUGUGUAUUUUACAAAAACUCAUUUUUCUAAAUUUUUUUUUUAAGAAAGA